UCACUAUUGAAAUCUCUCUCUCUCUCUCUCUCUCUCUCUCUCUCCCCUACUUGUAGCUGCUCAACUUCCACAGUGUACCAUCCCAGCAGGCAGAAAUAUCUUUCUUUAUUAAAAUCAUCUCCUUGGGGGCAUUGGGAGGAGAGAGAGAGAGAGAGAGAGAGAGAGAGAGAUNCUCUCUUUCU
rnacentral:miRNA from 1 species